rnacentral:lncRNA from 1 species
GAUUUUGAGACUUGAAAAUAAAUAAAAAACAGAAGCAUUUCGCGAUUUCUUUGGUUAAUAGCAGAACACCAGAGAAGCAGCAAGAUGAUGAUGUCUUUGGUUUCAAUUUCUCCUCCAUUCUAUGCACCUGUGAGCAUUAUAUCUCUCUUUCAAUCCAUUAUAUAUUUUUAUUUUCCAAUUCUUUCUAUUUAAUUUAAGAGUUAUUUCAACAGUGGAAAUCGAAAGCUAUUGUACUUGAAAAAUCUGUAUCACCUGUAAAGAGAGGAAGCUUUGGGGUUAAAGCAUUUUUCUUCAACCCUCCAGAUGAACCCAUUCUCAAAGAAGCUCUUAAGGUAAUUCCAUUUGCUACAUCCAUAUAUUUUUGUACUAUGUUUAUUCAGUAAUUUCUGUAUUUGGGUGCUGGAAAAAUAAAUUGACAGAAUACUUUUUAGGGAAUUUCUAUAGAAAAAUUGUAGCAUAUAGAGAAGAAACCCUAUCUGGGUUUGUUAAUUUAUUAUGUCUAUAAAGUAGAGCUAGCUAGCAUCUGGGUUCUGACCAAUUUAGCAAGGGGAGGAUUGAGAGUUGAUUGUGGUGUUAGUUAUCAGAGUACUUUUUUACUUUUCAAUUGUUGUAGUACAUGUUCUAAUGUUUUACUUGGAACGUGUGUUUUGUUUAGUUUGUUAUGCCUACCCGAACUAGUCUGGGAUAAAAGGCGUAGCUGAGUUGAUAUAUAUCUCGUUUUAAUACUAGUUAACAAUUACAAACAUAAAGCUAAGGGCGGAUUUGCAGUUACAGAAACAGUGGUUAAGCAUAUAUUGACAUCAUUCUGUCUGGGCUUCUUUCAAACAGACAUUUUACCACCUGUUUUUACAUAAGUAUGGGGAAAUGACCUUUCUUUUAUCAGCAUAUCAAUUGGUCUUGCAAGUGGAGCUAGCUCAGUCAACUGGACACUUUAUCCAAGUCCGUGUAACUAUGCUAGCAGUUUUGUAGGGCGCAAUUGGCUUUAAUCUGUACCAUUUAUUAUACACACUGAAACCGUCACUCAUACCCUUUACACGUUCCUAUAAUUGAUCCCAGGUCAUCUCCCAUUCCUAUCAAAAGCAAUUCCAUUUUUGUGGACAUAGAGAACCCAAGGUCAUAUUUGCUUAGCACACUCACCUCGUCCAAGAAUGAGGUCGCAUGUUAUUGUUGUAGGCUGAUAACCAAAGUAGCAGCUAGCCCAUUGUUGCUUCUAUUAAAAAGAAAAGAAAUUUCAAGAUAAAGAAUGACAAUGAAAGGUGAAGGGACCUAUCCACACAGAUUCCUAGAAACUCACCAAUAAUGAAAUAAAGCUCAAAGCGCUAGUAUCAAAGUAAUAAUAUAUUCAACUAUUAUUGUUAAUGAAGAUUACAUCAGUUUAUCCAAAUCCUUCAAUCAUUUCCUUCUUGAAGUUGCCUCCCUAAGUCUUCUGCCUAGAAACUUACGGAGGCCUUUUCAAGCUUCGAAUUUAAUCAUUGUUCUAUGAAUCAAAUCUCUUUUUCCUUUCGUUCCAUCUUCAUGCUCCGAUCCAAAGAUUAAUCAGAGAAGCUCCUCGGGAAAAGUGUCGUCAGAGAGCUAGGGUGGCCGAACCCUUGGGGGGCGAACCCUAGGUUCAUACCUCCUUCGAUUUCUUGCCCUUUCGUCACGAUUCUCGGCCCUUUGAGUAGUUUUUCAUAUAAUGAAGGACUUGAGGGAGAUCAUCCCUAAGUCUCCAUGUAUUUUUCACCUCUUUUCUUGGCUUUAAUCAUCUUGAGUUGUCGUUUUGCUAAUCCAAAGUUCUCAUCAAGAAGGGAUCAUUCAUCGACAUCAUUUGGAGAGGUUGAACCCCAGGGGGUGAACCCUAGGGCGGACGGACCCGAGGAGGGAAAUCCCUAGGUAGCCAUUCUUUCUUGCCCGGUUUCGUUGAUCUAGUUUUCGUUUCGUUUGAUAACUCAAAUCAAAUCAAGAAGGCAUCAUCAAUUGAACCAAGUUAAGGAGGUGCACCCCUAGGGGACCAAACCCUAGGGAGGCCGAACCCUAAGGGGGCACUUCAUGAUCGGAUUAUCUUCUUUUGCUUAGUUUCUUCAUUUCACCUUGUUAGAAGAUAUGAUAUAGAUUUACCAUAAUUGUAGCUUCCAUAAUCAGUGUGUACACAUUACUGUAAUUUAGGAAUUACCAUAAAUAUAAUUAGGAUACUUGUGUAUAUAUCAAUCUAUUCUCAGUUUUAUCAUGGUAUCAAAGUUAUGUUGACACAGUAGUGCACAGAACUUACCUUUUUCUUCAUAAAUCUAGCAAAACCAGUUGGUAUUGAGAAAUUGAAACCAUAUUAAGGCCCUACACUGCCAGGUGACCACCACGGGAAAAAAUUUUCAGGCACCCACUCACCCACGUGCCGCUAGGAGUGAGCAAAAAACGGAUAAAACCGAAUUACCGAACCGAACCGAAUUAUUUCGCUUUUUCGAAAUUUCUGUUAUAUCCGAUUUAAUUCUCGUUAUUCGGUUUCGGUUUUAAAAAACAGGUUAUUCGGAUACUCGAAUAACUGAACUUUAAUAUUUAAAAAAUAACAAUUUUAUAAUUGUGACUCAUCACACUCAGAGUACUCUAUAGUUUACUCUCUCGUACUCAUCAUCUCCCACUAGUGGAUGACAAAUCUCUCAUUAUGAUAUCAAAUUCAUAUCUUAAAUCUCUCUCUACUCUCUAUUCACAAAAUCUCUUCGUCAAAAGUUACAAAAUCUCUUCAUCAGAUCUCUAUUCACAAAAUCUCUUUGUCAAAAGUUAUAAAAUCUCUUCAUCAGAUGGCUUCAACCGAGGGUUUAGUGCCUAUCACGAGCACCACGUCCACCAAACUUCUUCGGCUCGCACCUCCUCGGAUCGGCGACAUGCAGAGUCCGGUCAUACCUAACAAGGAUGUCCUUGAUCUCCUUCUUCUGUUGCUCAUACUUCUGGUAAGAUGCCGGAUGGCAUAGAUCUGAGAGGUGUGACCUCCACCCUUGACGGGGAUCCUCAUGUCGACGCCGGCGAAACGGUGGCGACCGAGGAGGAUCGACUCAAAGGCUUUGUAGCGGAGGAUUUUCGGCUGGACGAGCUCAAUCAAUACACUGUUGAUCUUGAUCAAUCCACGACCACGCUUGCAGUGAGUCACGGCAACGACGAUCUUCUUACGGCCAAAGCAUUGGACAGAAUCGGUUAGGGAUGUAGCCAUGGUUGGGUUUGCUCCAGUGAAAUCUUCAGAACCCUAAACCUAAAGAAUGCUUCGGAGGCGAUUGAUAGUGUGAUAUUGUGGAGGUUUCGUCAGAUGGCUUCUUAUUACGACAAAUAUCCAUUUUCUCCUCUCCGAUGAUGUCUCUCGUCUUUCGAAUAAGCUUCACUCCAUAGCCUGUGAUUUUCACAACGAUUCCCCUCUUUAUAAAGGUUUGCUUUUUAGAUUGAUUUGAUCUCUGUAACUACGUAAUCUCUGAAGUUUUAAUAAAGGUUUAUGAAGGUUUACUUUUUAGAUUGAUUUGAGCUUCACUCCAUAUUCCCCUCAUUAUGCAGCUCUAUAAAAGAAACACAAUCUAGAACAUUUCGGUUAUUAACCGAAUAACCGAAUAAUAAAUUCAGUUAUCUCCUAAUUCGGUUAAUAGUUCGGAUAUCAAAAUUGAGUUAAUUUCGGUUUUCGGUUAUAACCGAAUAAGCUAUUCGGUUCGGUUAUAACCGAAUACUCAGUCCUACGUGCCGCCACGAGCCACCUCACGCGCCUGUCGCCAACGCCACGCAUCUCCUUCUGCCAGCACGUGAGCCUUUUUUCGGCGAGAUUUUUCGACACAAUUUUUUCCAGGGUGCUCGAUUCUGUCCUCUCUUGCCAUCUACAGUGGUCUUGGGAACAUUGAUUCAGGUUUCUUCAACUUUACGUGUCUUCUUCCCAUCUGGAUUUUUUUUUUGUGAAUUGAGUUGGUUUUUUGUUUGAAAAAAAUUGUUCUGUUCUUGGUAAUUCAUUGCUAUUAGGGUUUGAGCCUUUAAACAUCUCUGUUGCUAUUUCCGGGGAUACUUUUGUUGCUCUUUUUCCCUUAUCAUGGUAGAAUCAAGUUUCAUUAAGAGUGGUGGUACUACCGAAAUAAAUAAAGGGCAGUGGUUAGAAAUCAUCAUCUUAACUCUACCUUGGUUCUUAGUCCAUUUAAGUUAGAUGGAAACAAUUAUCUAGCUUGGUCUCAAGCGUGCCAUAUGUCAAUCGAAGCUAACCGGAUGCAACAUUUCAUCAAUGGUACAACAACCAUGCCUACACUAGCAGGUGUGGCCCAGGAAGAAUGGAAAUCUGAUAACUCCAUGGUGAAAACGUGGAUUUUUAACUCAGUGGAACCUAGUAUGCGGAAUAGUUACAUGUUCUUAGACACUACAUAUGAACUUUGGGAGGCUAUCUCUCAAACCUUCUCUGUUUCUGGUGGUAUGUCUAAGGCGAUAUCCGUAAACGAAUCCGUGAGUUGGGUCAAGGGGAGAAGUCUAUGACACAGUAUUUUGCAUAAAUUAAUGCACUUUGGCAGGAGCUUGAUCAUUAUCGGGUUUUUUCUGCCAAAUGUCUAGAAGAUGUUGUUUAUCAAAAGUUUGUGAGUGAAGAUAGAGUCGUGGAUUUCUUGGCUGGUUUGAAUAUAGAAUUUGAUCAAGUUCGUGCAUAGUUGAUUGAUCAGACACCUUUUCCAUCACUGUGUGAGGCUCAUGCUCGAGUCCAACAAGAGGAAAGUAGGCGUUGGGUGAUGGUUCUAAAUCUUGUUGACCGAUGAGUCAUGGUUGCUUCGUAUCCUAAGUUUGGCUCCACUAUUCAGUCUCUUGCUGAGAAGGAAUCCCGUGAGUGUGAUUACUGUGGGGGAAAGAACCAUAUCAGGGAUCGUUGUUUCAAGCUUCAUGGACAUACUAAAGGGAGAGGGGGUCGGUCGUGAACGUGGAUCUCAAGCCUAUGUGACUACAACACCUCCUGUUGAUACAUCCAGUGCUUCUGACACUACUACUACACUCGUUCCUGAGGAAAUCUCAGUUUUUCGAAAAUUCUAUUCCACAUCUACUUCUUCUCAUUAUGCCCAGUCAGGUAUACAGUCUUGUGUUUUUAAUGUUUUAUCAACUUGCUCUAGUUGGAUCAUUGACACAGGUGCCUCCGAGCAUAUGACCGGGUCCUCCACCCUCUUUACUUCAUAUACGCCUUGUUCUGGAAAAGACAAGGUUCGAGUAACUGAUGAUUCCCUUUCUUCGAUCUCUGGGAGUGGUUCUGUAGUUUGUACUCCCUCAUUGAUAUUAUCAUCUGUUCUUCAUAUUCCUUCAUUUACUGCAAAUUUAUUAUCUGUUCAACGUGUUUCUGAAUCCUUAUACUGUUCAGUAAAUUUUUUCCCAACUCAUUGUAUUUUUCAGGACUUGGUGAUGGGGCAGAAGAUUGGCAGUGGUAGUGCAAUUGGUGGUCUUUAUUAUUUGGAUGUUCCCCCCUCUAACGUGUUCUCUACUCAGGCUCUUCACUCUACUUUUGACACUAGCCUGACUUCUCUCCAUCAAUGACAUCGACGCUCGAGACAUCCCUCCUUUUCUAUAUUAGUCUUUAUUUUCCUCUUUAGUUAAACAAUGUAAUAAAACUCAGUUUUUGUGUGAACCAUGUUAAUUGGAGAAACACAAACGUUCUAUUUAUUCUACUAUUAACAGUCGACAUUCUGAAUCUUUUGCUAUUAUACAUACUGAUGUGUGGGGACCCUCUCGGGUUUUUUCCCGUUCUGGUUAUAGAUGGUUUGUUAGCUUUAUUGAUUGUCAUUCUCGUGUCACUUGGAUUUAUCUUCUUCGUUCCAAAAAUGAUGUGUUUGGUUUUUUUCAGGAAUUUCAUAAAAGAAUUCAAACCCAAUUUGAAGCUAAAGUCAAAAUUCUCCAUAGUGAUAAUGGUCGUGAAUAUAGUAAUAAUCAUGCUUUUGUAUUUUAUCUUUCUCAGCAUGGCAUCAUUCUUCAAACCUCUUGUGUCAAAACUCUAGAACAAAAUAAAGUCGCGGAAAAGAAAAAUCGACACUUACUAGAGGUUGCCCGCACUCUUAUGUUCACCAUAAACAUCCCUAAAUUUCUAUGGGGAGAUGCAGUUUUGACUGCUGCAUUUCUUAUAAACCGCCUUCCUUCUCGAGUUCUUGGAAAUAAAAGUCCUAUCUCUUUUCUCUAACACACGACCAGUCCUCCUUCGCCUCGAGUUUUUGGUUGUGUGUGCUAUGUUCAUGAUAAAUUUCUCGGAGAAAAUUAGAUCCCAAGGCUCUUAGGUGUGUUUUCAUUGGUUAUUCUCCAACCCAAAAAGGUUAUAAUUGUUAUCGUUCUCCUUCUAACAAAGUAUUUGUCACUCGGGAUGUAACUUUUUGAGAAUUGGAAUCUUUUUAUUCUUCUUCACUUUCUCCUCAGAAGGAGGAUGUGAUUGAUGAAGAGAAUCUUCCUCCUGAGGCUAGUAUUACAAGUUCCACUAUACCAUCUUCUUAUGUUCCUGUUGUUGUUUCUAAUAUUUUUACACAGGGGGAGUUACAGUUACAAAAGCCAUGUGCUAGACAGAAUGAGCCUGAGCUUGAGUUGAGGACCUAUGUUCGAAGAGGCAAGAAUAAGGUCACCAUUUCUGCACCACUACACCAAUCUUGCUCCGAACCUAAUCUUGAUAAUGCUAAUGGUGAGAAUCAUACUCCUACUUGUUCUUCCGAUGAUACUGACAUUCCUAUUGCUCUUAGAAAAGGGGUUAGAUCUUGUACUCAACAUCCUAUCUCUAAUUUCGUAGCCUAUACUAAAUUAUCUGCAUCCUUCCACUCUUUUGUUUCUUCCUUGUCUUCAAUAUCUGUUCCUCAGGGGUGGAGAGAAGUGAUUAGUCAUGAGAAUUAGAAACAGUCUAUGAUUAAGGAGAUGAAUCCUCUAAAGAAGAAUGAUACAUGGGAACUAGUUACUCUUCCUUAUGGAAAAAAGUCAGUUGGUUGUAAAUGGGUAUAUACAGUCAAACAGAAGUCAGAUGGGACAGUUGAGAAACUUAAAUCCAGGCUAGUUGCAAAAAAGUAUACUCAAACCCAUGGAAUUGAUUAACAGGAGACAUUUGCUCCUGUGACGAAGAUGAACUCUGUUUGUACCAUAAUCUCAUGUGCAGCAAAUUUCAGCCGGGAUAUUCAAUAAUUAGAUGCGGAAAAUGCAUUUCUUCAUGGUGACUUGGAGGAGGAAGUAUACAUGGAAAUACCAUCUGGUUUUGCUUCAUCUGUCACCAAGGGUAAAGUUUGUAAACUGCAAAAGGCUUUAUAUGGCUUGAAAAAAUCUCCUAGAGCCUGGUUUGGUAGAUUCCACAAAGCAAUGAUAAGAUUUGGGUACAAGCAGAGUCUAGCAGAUCAUACUCUAUUUGUCAAACAGAUAAAAAGUAAGACUAUCAUUCUUAUUGUUUAUGUUGAUGACAUUGUGGUGACGGGGGAUAAUAGAGAAGAGAUAGUUAAUCUCAAACAUGUCUGGCCAAAGAGUUUGAGAUCAAAGUUCUUGGGUGAAGUUGCAAGAUCUCCUAGUGGAAUUUUUCUAUCUCAAAGGAAGUAUGUUUUUGAUCUUUUAACAAAAACUGGCAUGUUGGGAUAUAAGCCUGCUGAUUCUCCUAUUGCAGUUAAUCAUCAUCUAAUAGGUGGCACAUGACCUACAGUUGAUAGAGAAAGAUAUCAACGUUUGGUGGGACGAUUGAUAUAUCUUUCUCAUACUAGACCUGAUAUAUCUUAUGUUGUGGGAAUAGUAAGUCAAUAUAUACAUGAUCCUAGACAUUGUCACAUGAAAAUUGUUUAUAGAAUUCUGAGAUAUCUCAAGUCUGCUCCUGGAAAAGGUUUAUUGUUCGCACCACAUGGUCAUAUGAGAGUUGAAGCUUUUUUCGAUUCAGAUUGGGCUGGCUCUAUAGAGAAUCGCCGUUCUACAUCAGGUUACUGUUCAUUUGUUUGAGGUAAUUUUGUUACUUGGCGAAGUAAGAAACAGUCCGUGGUAGCAAGAUCUAGUACUGAAGCUGAAUAUCGAGCUAUUGCCUUGGGUAUAUGUGAACUAAUGUGGCUUCGAACCUUGCUAGAAGAUUUGGGUGUUACAACUAAAAGGCCUAUAUAGUUAUUUUGUGAUAAUAAGGCAGCCAUUAGUAUUGCAAACGACCCAGUACAACAUGAUAGAACGAAGUACAUUGAGAUUGACAGACACUUUAUCAAAGAAAAGUUAACUAGUGGUCUUAUUUGCUUACCUUUUGUCAAAACAAAAAAUUAGUUUGCUGAUAUUUUGACUAAGGGUCUUAGAUGUUUCAUCCACUAUGUUUCAAGUUGGGUAUGCAAGACAUCUAUACACCAACUUGAGGGGGAGUGUUAGAAGAUAUGAUAUGUUGGAAGAUAUGAUAUAGAUUUACCAUAAUUAUAACUUCCAUAAUCAGUGUUUACACAUUACUAUAAUUUAGGAAUUACCAUAACUAUAAUUAGGAUAUUUGUGUAUAUAUAUCAAUGUAUGUAAUAGAAAGAGAUAACUUCAAUGAAAUAAAACUAUUCUCAGUUUUAUCACACCUUUGUUUCGCUUGGUAAUUCGGAUCAAGUCAAGAAAAUAUCUUUGAUUAGACUGAAUCAGGAGAUUGAACCCUAGGUGGCGAACCUAAGGGGUCUUCUAACAAUUUGUUAUCUUUUCAUCGAUCUUGUCCAAACUUUGCUCGAAAAUCUUUCAAUAAACAAAUCAGAUCAAGAAAGCAUCAUUGGUUGGCCAGAUAAAAAAUUGAACCCCUAGGGGGGCGAACCCUAUGGGAUCCUCUCACACUAGUCCGUUUUCUUCGACUUUUGCGUUCCAAAUUGUCUUGUUCGGGCAAUUUAAUUCAAUUGGGUCAUUAGAGUGCACUCAUUGAACACGCCUCUUUUUGUUAUACGCGCCCCUCUUUCAUAUUUAAGGGCUCACAGUUACUAACUACACUUUAUCUUCGAAGAAUAAUGUAAAAUGUUGGAAUAAUAAUUAAUCUCUUGGUUUGAUCCUCAUCAAUUCCUCUAACCAAUAAUUCAUUUUCUAAUGGAUCUCUAGCUUUAGUACCAAAUCCAAUGGGCGAUGGUUGCAGAAUGUCAAUGAAGAUACACUUCUUCUUGUUUCACUGGAAAGUAUUGUCUAAAUGGAAAUUGAUAAUUGUGGGAAAUAUUAAAUAUGGCUUUUUCUAUCAACAUUGAACUAGAAAUCCAAAUUCUUGAUUUUGUUUAUAAUAAAGAUGCAGUAAACUGGUUAGGGUUCAUAAGAGGUUAAAUUGAUCAUGGACAGCCCUCCCUGGAUUGCUGAGCAUGCGUUCUGCAGAACAGAUACAAAUGCAAAACUUUUGGAAAAGGUAAAAAUAUGAGAUGACCUCUUCAUGUCAAGGUCUUGUCAAAUUCAGAUGAGGAUACACAUUAAACAAAGCUACAAUCUGAACAAUAAAAACAACCUAUCUGCGAAAAUCUUAGAAGUUAGUGCCAACAGAUAUAAAAAAAUUUAAAUGACACCUGUUAAAUAAACUAUUCACUCUUUUUUCUUUUUUUUAAAAUUCCAAAUAUGUGUUCACAUUAUUGAUGAGGUUAACGACCAGCUCAUUAUUCAAUAGUCAUAUGCAGUUUGCUGUCUUAUUUCUACAUGUACUCACCCCCGGGGGGUUAACCCCCCNNNNNNNNNNNNNNNNNNNNNNNNNNNNNNNNNNNNNNNNNNNNNNNNNNNNNNNNNNNNNNNNNNNNNNNNNNNNNNNNNNNNNNNNNNNNNNNNNNNNAUCCCUCUACGUUUAUGUUUACGGUUAGCUGCUUUUAAUAUCCUUCACAGCUUUACAUCAAGGUUAUCCUGUCAUACAAAAUUUCAUUUUCCUUGUCGAUUUGGGGAUUGAAAUCAAAUUUGUAGUUUAUGUUAAAAUCUUGUUAUAGUUAGGAAGAGGAAAUUUUAACGUCAGACUGAAUGUCGUUGGGAUAUUAACUUCUUUUUCAACCUACGUUAUUUUAAAUUUUUUUCAGGUUGGCUUGCCACCACUUAAAGUUUUUUACCUCAUAUGAAAGGUUUAAUUUUAUUUAUUAUUAUUAUUAUCUGACUAAAGAGUAUUUGAACUUUGAUAUUUUGUUGGCCCCAACUUAUAGACAUGGUUUCCUUUUGAUAUUAGUAUGUUUUUACUGAUGCCUAAACAAUUUCAGUUUCAUUUGCAGUGUUAGCUGAUUAAGAUUCAAACCGUUGUUCUACUUGAAUUGCUUUUCUCACCUACUAUUAGUAGAGGAUAGAGGUACUUGAGGCCUAUGAUCAUAUAGUCACAAACCUUUAUAAUCAAUAGAUUCCACUUCACAAAUUUUUGCAUUUUUGGAGCCUUAUUAAGGUUUUGUGAUCCUACUGGCACAAGUGAAGCUGACCUACAUGAAUUAUCUGAUGCUAAGUUGUUUCCUGUUCGUUCCAUACGUUUUAUUCAUUAACGAGUUAUUAGCUAUUUUGGAGAAAAUGAACAUCUCACGGAUCCAUUCUUAUAAAUUAAAAUUUGAAACAUUUUAAGAAUCAUAUUAGUGUCCAAAUAUAUAUAUAUAUAUAUAUAUANNNNNNNNNNNNNNNNNNNNNNNNNNNNNNNNNNNNNNNNNNNNNNNNNNNNNNNNNNNNNNNNNNNNNNNNNNNNNNNNNNNNNNNNNNNNNNNNNNNNUUGAAGCAUCUGGACUUACGAAGGAAGAUAUUGACGCUGAAGCUGCUGUAGAACAAGAAGUUCCACAACAGAUAGAGAUAGAAUGAUUUGCUUCAUUUGCCUGUUUUAGUACACCAUUCAUAAGUUAUUUACAUGUGGAAGGGAAUGUAUUUGAACAUGUUUGUUACAUGCGCGUAAGAUAUAUAUGCAAUGCCCAGCACCAUUUACCUUGGUGCUCCAGUUUUUCUAUAUAUAUGCAUGAUUCUAAGUUGGUGUUUGGCAAGUACUUGUUUCUCCUUGUUACCGUAUGCUCUUUGGGUUAUCAUUUUCAAUCUAACAUUUUCAAAAUUUUCUCCAUGAGGCAGCCAACGAUGACAAUGCUUGUAGCAAAUUUCGGGUAUUUAUGAGUCAUUUGUUGCGAGUUCCACCUUUGCUUUUGCUCCAAACAUUGUCAGCAUUGGAGCUAGAUACCAUCUUUCAGGGCAAGACAGUUUGAAAAGGAAAUAUUUCCUCCAGUUGGCAGCAAAGGCGAAUCCACAUUUGGGCCAAAGGGACUUGUCCCUGUUGGCUUUUGAAAAAGAAAACCGAGUGCUUGAAGCAUUCUAAGUUAUACACCUUGGGGGUUCUACAAUUGAAAAUAUUGUCCAACUUUACGUUUCUCAUCUACCAAGUUUGGGUGGCAGACUGAGCUUAUAUUGGCAGGGCGAGGGCGGGGGGUGUUCUGGAAAGGGCGUGCCGAACCAAACUAGCCACAUUCUUCGGGGAACUGCUGUCUCAUAAAUACCAACAGUGUACUACAUUUAUUUACUUCGCCAUUUUCUGUGGUCUGAGGAAACAGUCUAUUUGUGUAUCUGGGAGGACUUGUUCAAACUAUGUCGACCAAAGCAUCCAG